AUGGUGGUGUCGGACUCGUCGUCCGAUGAGUCCGAGAUGCACUCCUCUUGUGAAGACAAGGAGGAGGAAGAAGAGACCUCUCCCCCUCCAGCGGGGGGAGGAAAGAAGAUGAAGGCCGCCCUAGUAGGGGAGGCCGAAGGGUCCAAGAAGAGGAAAACCCCUCCGCCGGACUACGCCCCCGACGCCGACGAGGACGAAGAGGAGUGGCCGGACAGGGCCAAGCGUCCGGCGAAAUCCCCGCCCAAGGACGGGCUCGACGAGUCGUCGAGCGGCUCCCUGGAUUCAUCGGACGUGAAUUCAGUUCCGCCCGCUGCCUCCCCCUGUGCUGCGGAUGACGCCGAAGUGGCAUCGCGACAAGCUCCGGGGCAAGAGGAGGUGGUCCAGGAGGAGCCGCGAGGCGACCUCCCGGACUCCAGGAGUAAAGAGGACAAGACCCCCCAGGGCUCCAAGUCCGGCUUUAAACCGGACACCGCGCCGGAAUCAUCAACGGUUCCGGACCGCGGUAGGCGAACUCCUGCCAAGAGGAGCAAGCCUAUUGAAACGGCGUCCUCCGUCCAACCGGAGGCGCCGGACAAUCUGCUGGAGGUGCUUAAGGGCGCCUCCAUCGACGAGGAGCACCGUACCAUCAUGAGUACGGUGGUCCAGAAGGUUCGGUCCGCCAAAAGCGGACUUACUGAAGCUUGUGCUAGCCUUCUAACAGGCUUCGAGGUAAGUAGAAAUAUGUAA
rnacentral:rRNA from 1 species